UACGUAGGGUGCAAGCGUUAUCCGGAAUUAUUGGGCGUAAAGAGCUCGUAGGCGGUUUGUCACGUCUGCUGUGAAAACUGGAGGCUCAACCUCCAGCCUGCAGUGGGUACGGGCAGACUAGAGUGCGGUAGGGGAGAUUGGAAUUCCUGGUGUAGCGGUGGAAUGCGCAGAUAUCAGGAGGAACACCGAUGGCGAAGGCAGAUCUCUGGGCCGUAACUGACGCUGAGGAGCGAAAGCAUGGGGAGCGAGCAGG
rnacentral:rRNA from 1 species